rnacentral:rRNA from 1 species
ACGAACGCUGGCGGCAUGCCUAACACAUGCAAGUCGAACGAGACCUUCGGGUCUAGUGGUGCACGGGUGCGUAACGCGUGGGAACCUGCCCUUAGGUUCGGAAUAACUCCCCGAAAGGGGUGCUAAUACCGGAUAAUGUCUUCGGACCAAAGAUUUAUCGCCUUUGGAUGGGCCCGCGUUGGAUUAGCUAGUUGGUAGGGUAAAAGCCUACCAAGGCGACGAUCCAUAGCUGGUCUGAGAGGAUGAUCAGCCACACUGGGACUGAGACACGACCCAGACUCCUACGGGAGGCAGCAGUGGGGAAUAUUGGACAAUGGGCGAAAGCCUGAUCCAGCAAUGCCGCGUGAGUGAUGAAGGCCUUAGGGUUGUAAAGCUCUUUUACCCGGGAUGAUAAUGACAGUACCGGGAGAAUAAGCUCCGGCUAACUCCGUG